rnacentral:lncRNA from 1 species
UUACUGAUUUCGAACUUGUCACUUUCUCCAGAUGUCAUUUUCUCAAAUAGUCAUUAGACUAGAUGUCAACUUUUUUUCUAGAUAUUGGAUGCGAUUUGUUAUACUCUGAAUAGUUUCAUAUUAACUUAACAUUUGUUAUACUCGUAAUAGUUUAUUUGUUUCUAAGAACUCAUAAUAACUAUAAAAUUGAUAGACAUGAUGCUUUAUCUUAUCACACAAGUUGUUAAAUAGUGAUUAUUUUAUCGGUCAUUUAAAAAUAUUCAUUGAUUUGAAAAAUAAUGAUGUAUUUAAGUGAAAUAUAUUCAUUAAUGUUAUCGCUAUGUCAUCUGAGGAUCAUAUCUUUAAAACACCAAUUAAAUCUUUAAUAAAUGGCCAAAGACAGCAUUACCAGAUGCACUAAAAAAAUCUGCUGCAUCAACAUUAUGACGAAUAUAACUUUUUGAAGACCAAACAAAACUUUGAUUUAUUUCGAUAUAAUUUUGAUUUGUCAAAAAUUGUGAACGAAACAAAGUAAAAUUGUAUACUUGCUCGCACCACCGUAUCUUAACGUUGAGUAAGUGAAAACAUUCAUGUAUCUUAUACACUUUCACGCUCGUUUUCACGAGUCAAAUUUAACCCAUUAACGCCUACGAGGGGUACCAUAUGGAGCCAACAAAUUGCGUACGCAUCGGAGUCUAUUUACCAUAUUUUUAGGUAAAAUUUAGCAGAGAGAUUUGGCCUAUUCGUAGUUCAAGGUUACCUCUUGAAUGAACAACCCAAAUUUAGUUUUAUACCUAUUUUCCAGUGUAAUAAAUUUUUGAAUUUACGGUUGGUUUUGUUUGUGACAAAAUAUGGACAUUCGUUUCGUUGACUUUUUCCCUAAAAAUGUUGGUACCAUAUGAGAUGAGCAUGGCGAAAGGUUUCACCAGGAUAUAUGACACAUUGAAGGACGCUUCAGUGGGAAAUGGUCAGCAGCAAUACUUGACGAUUUCUUUUGGUCGAUUUACCGAGAAACUCCAAAUGAAGUAAUAAACAGAAAGGAAACUACAAAAUAUCUUGGAUUUUAUCAUCAUGAGAUAGACUUACUUUAAUAACCUCUACCUGACAAAAUAGUAUUUUUUACUGUAAAAUAUAUAUACUUUAUAAUUUUCUUCAUAGUUUUUACUCUAAUAAUAUCGUUUUUUGAUUAAAUGAACAAUAUGUGAAAA